UACGUAGGGUCCGAGCGUUGUCCGGAAUUACUGGGCGUAAAGAGCUCGUAGGUGGUUUGUUGCGUCGGUUGUGAAAACCCGGGGCUUAACUCCGGGCCUGCAGUCGAUACGGGCAGACUAGAGUUCGGCAGGGGAGACUGGAAUUCCUGGUGUAGCGGUGAAAUGCGCAGAUAUCAGGAGGAACACCGGUGGCGAAGGCGGGUCUCUGGGCCGAUACUGACACUGAGGAGCGAAAGCGUGGGGAGCGAACAGG
rnacentral:rRNA from 1 species